GAUGAACGCUAGCGGGAGGCUUAACACAUGCAAGUCGAGGGGCAGCAUAGGGUAGCAAUACUUUGAUGGCGACCGGCGCACGGGUGAGUAACGCGUAUGUAACCUACCCUGUACAGGGGGAUAGCCCGGAGAAAUUCGGAUUAAUACCCCAUAAUGAUAUCGAGAGGCAUCUUUUGAUAUUUAAAGCUUCGGCGGUACGGGAUGGGCAUGCGUGACAUUAGCUAGUUGGUAAGGUAACGGCUUACCAAGGCUGCGAUGUCUAGGGGUCCUGAGAGGGUGAUCCCCCACACUGGUACUGAGACACGGACCAGACUCCUACGGGAGGCAGCAGUGAGGAAUAUUGGUCAAUGGGCGUAAGCCUGAACCAGCCAUCCCGCGUGAAGGAAGAAGGCGCUAUGCGUCGUAAACUUCUUUUCCAGAGGAAUAAAAUUUUGUACGCGUACAGAACUGAAGGUACUCUGGGAAUAAGCAUCGGCUAACUCCGUGCCAGCCGCCGCAGUAAGAC
rnacentral:rRNA from 1 species